rnacentral:rRNA from 1 species
GGGGAAGCUGGGCGGCGUGCUAUACAUGCAGUCGAGCGGACAGAAGGGAGCUUGCUCCCGGAUGUUAGCGGCGGACGGGUGAGUAACACGUGGGUAACCUGCCUGUAAGACUGGGAUAACUCCGGGAAACCGGAGCUAAUACCGGAUAGUUCCUUGAACCGCAUGGUUCAAGGAUGAAAGACGGUUUCGGCUGUCACUUACAGAUGGACCCGCGGCGCAUUAGCUAGUUGGUGGGGUAAUGGCUCACCAAGGCGACGAUGCGUAGCCGACCUGAGAGGGUGAUCGGCCACACUGGGACUGAGACACGGCCCAGACUCCUACGGGAGGCAGCAGUAGGGAAUCUUCCGCAAUGGACGAAAGUCUGACGGAGCAACGCCGCGUGAGUGAUGAAGGUUUUCGGAUCGUAAAGCUCUGUUGUUAGGGAAGAACAAGUGCGAGAGUAACUGCUCGCACCUUGACGGUACCUAACCAGAAAGCCACGGCUAACUACGUGCCAGCAGCCGCGGUAAUACGUAGGUGGCAAGCGUUGUCCGGAAUUAUUGGGCGUAAAGGGCUCGCAGGCGGUUUCUUAAGUCUGAUGUGAAAGCCCCCGGCUCAACCGGGGAGGGUCAUUGGAAACUGGGAAACUUGAGUGCAGAAGAGGAGAGUGGAAUUCCACGUGUAGCGGUGAAAUGCGUAGAGAUGUGGAGGAACACCAGUGGCGAAGGCGACUCUCUGGUCUGUAACUGACGCUGAGGAGCGAAAGCGUGGGGAGCGAACAGGAUUAGAUACCCUGGUAGUCCACGCCGUAAACGAUGAGUGCUAAGUGUUAGGGGGUUUCCGCCCCUUAGUGCUGCAGCUAACGCAUUAAGCACUCCGCCUGGGGAGUACGGUCGCAAGACUGAAACUCAAAGGAAUUGACGGGGGCCCGCACAAGCGGUGGAGCAUGUGGUUUAAUUCGAAGCAACGCGAAGAACCUUACCAGGUCUUGACAUCCUCUGACAACCCUAGAGAUAGGGCUUUCCCUUCGGGGACAGAGUGACAGGUGGUGCAUGUUGUCGUCAGCUCGUGUCGUGAGAUGUUGGGUUAAGUCCCGCACGAGCGCCACCCUGAUCUAGUGCAGCAUUCAGGUGGGCACUUCUAGGUGACUGCCGGGGACAACCGAAGAAGGUGGGGAUGACGUU